UGAGCAAUCUGCCCUUCUCUUCGGAAUAAGCGUUGGAAACGACGUCUAAUGCCGAAUACGACCUCCUUUCGCAUGAUCGGAGGUGGAAAGCUCCGGCGGAGAAGGAUGAGCUCGCGGCCUAUCAGCUAGUUGGUGUGGGUAAUGGCCCACCAAGGCGACGACGGGUAGCCGGCCUGAGAGGGUGACCGGCCACACUGGGACUGAGACACGGCCCAGACUCCGUACGGGAGCAGCAGG
rnacentral:rRNA from 1 species